rnacentral:rRNA from 1 species
GACGAACGCUGGCGGCGUGCUUAACACAUGCAAGUCGAACGGAAAGGCCCUGCUUUUGUGGGGUGCUCGAGUGGCGAACGGGUGAGUAACACGGGAGUAACCUGCCCUUGAUUUUGGGAUAACUUCAGGAAACUGGGGCUAAUACCGGAUAGGAGCUCCUGUUGCAUGGUGGGGGUUGGAAAGUUUCGGCGGUUGGGGAUGGACUCGCGGCUUUUCAGCUUGUUGGUGGGGUAGUGGCUUACCAAGGCUUUGACGGGUAGCCGGCCUGAGAGGGUGACCGGCCACAUUGGGACUGAGAUACGGCCCAGACUCCUACGGGAGGCAGCAGUGGGGAAUAUUGCACAAUGGGCGGAAGCCUGAUGCAGCAACGCCGCGUGCGGGAUGACGGCCUUCGGGUUGUAAACCGCUUUCGCCUGUGACGAAGCGUGAGUGACGGUAAUGGGUAAAGAAGCACCGGCUAACUACGUG